UUUUUGUUCCUUGUCCCACCUCCCUUGUGUGUAAUGUCGGCAAGUUGCUGUAUCUGUUUGUUUGAGGUCUGCCGUUCUUCUGCCUUGGUUCAUGGAACAGUUUGAAUAAUGAAGUUCACAAUGAGUAUACGUGUAAAGAGAUGAACAAAAUUGCCGUUGAAGAGCUUGAAGUGCUGCACUGUCAAUUUCUAGAGGGGUUUGACGAGGAUGACCUCAAACACAAGCUUGUUUUGAGAUCUUAUCUGCUGGUGACCCGCACUACGUUUAAUCAUCUGUGUGCCUUGAGUAUUUCUGCACACUUAUGGGUUUUAAUCAUACUUUAGAACUGUUACUUUGAACGUUGAGGUCCACUUUCUGUCAUUUCUAACCUAUUUCCACCUCCCCUUCUACCUUCAUUUCAGAUCUGUUAAAGUUGGUAGUAUUGGUGCUUUUUCUGUUUUUCUCUGGUCACUCUUGCCAGCUUUGAAACCAGGGAUGACUAUGUUCAAGAUUCGGUGCAAGACAAAUUAAAUUCUACACACCCUUAAGUAAUAUGCUUAGACAAGAUAUUUAGUAUUAUGAAUAAACUGAUUAUGGAAUAAUGUGCAUAGCCUGAUCUGUAAAAUAACAUAGCAUUAUGCAUGUGGAAUGACCCAAUAUAAAAUGGGGUAAAGGUGAGAGACAGUUCUUUUGUAUUCUGAUGUCUGGCUUUUGCACCCUAUGCUAUAUUAUAAAAUAUAUUUUUUUUAAAUAAACAUUUAAUGAUUCAAGCAGUGGUAGUCCACUCCUGGCCAGGGCUGUGGAGUUGGUAGAUAGAUCCUCCAACUCCUCUAAUAGGCUAAUGUAUUUUCCAUGUUGAUUGAAGGAAGGCAACAUACACCAUUUAACCACAGAACUACUAGCUAGCCAUUGAAGACCUUUGCCUCCAUCAGUGCUUGUGUAAGACAAGCAGCAUCAUAAAGGACCACAGCCGUCCAUCACACCAGCUGUUCUUGUUACCGUCUGGAUGCUCUGACUACAAGACUUAAGAACAGUUUUCCUCAACAGCAACACCUGAACACUUACACUUGCAUUACAUCUACAUUGCACUACUCGCACACAAACUGUACCUGCAUACACUCGGAAUACUGAUUGGAAUAUCCAUCUGUACUUCAAAAACAUUAUCUGUGCAAGAACCGUCAUUUGUACUUGCUGCCUAUUCAAGUCAUAUUGCUCUAACUACUUUUAAAAUGUACACUAUUUUAUAUAGCUAGUCUAUUUAACUUGUAAUUUUUUAAUUUUAUUUUUUUUAGCUUUAUUGGAUCUAGGCUGAGUGACUUGUUAAUAUACACAUUUCAUUGUAUGUUGACCCUGUGUUAACCUAUAUGACAAAUAAACCUAAACUAGGAAGCUCACUCUCUACCAUAUUGGCCAGUUUAAACAAAAGACACAUCAGGCCGUAGCACACACCUUCACCUCCUCAUUACACUUGUUUACACAAAUGAACGUGUUAAACACAUUACAUCUGAAAUAAAAUGAAAACACUUUUUGUAAUGUACCAUAACCCAGAUUACAAUAUGAAUGUCCGGUUGUAUAAUAGCUCAGCUGAACUUCACACUAGUAGUAACACAUCUAUGCACAGGGCUUUAUUCUUAAAUCAGAGGUACUUAUGACUAUUUGUAAAAUGGGACAUUUGAAUUUGCUGUCAUUUUAUUAGUUUAAAUUUAUUAGGAGUCGGUACAUUUUUGUCAGUGCCAGGUACCCAAAAUUGUCUGACUCCAACUUCACAGCCCUGCUCCUGGCAAUAGUCUACUUUGUCUUUCUGUACUCCAUUCUUUCUACUUUGUAUUAUAUUUCUGCUUUAAAAAAUAAAACUUCCACUGGACCUCU